rnacentral:rRNA from 1 species
GUCCUGGCAGUAAACGGUGCGCGUUUGGUGUGGGAGGAUUCGACCCCUUCUGUGCCGGAGCUAACGCGUUAAACGCGCCGCCUGGGGAGUACGGUCGCAAGAUUAAAACUCAAAGAAAUUGACGGGGCCCGCACAAGCGGUGGAGUAUGUGGCUUAAUUCGAUGCAACGCGAAGAACCUUACCUAGCCUUGACAUGCAUCUCUAAGUCGGUGAAAGCCGGCGACUGUAGCAAUACAGAAUUUGCACAGGUGCUGCAUGGCUGUCGU